CAUGAUUUCACCUCGAUGAUAAUGGACUAAACCUCUGAACCUAAUGGAACAUGUAUUGAAUCAAGAAGAAGAGGUUGGCAAAUACAGAAGUGGAUGCUCACAGUCAUCUAUUGAAUGGAUCACAGGGCCCCCAAUGGAGGAGCUAGAGAAAGUACCCAAGGAGCUGAAGGAGUCUUAUAGGAGGAACAACAAUAUGAACUAACCAGUACCCCCAGAGCUCGUGUCUCUAGCUGCAAAUGUAGCAGAAGAUGGCCUAGUCAGCCAUCAUUGGGAGGAGAGUCCCUUGGUCUUGCAAAGAUUCUAUACCCCAGUAUAGGGGAAUGCCAGGACCAGGAAGCAGGAGUGGAUGAGUUGGGGAGCAGGGCAGGGGGGGAGUAUAGGGGCUUUCGGG
rnacentral:lncRNA from 1 species